GCUCGGGAGCCAAGCUCAAGCCCAGCAGCAGGCGAUCAAUCCUCCUGCCAAAUCCACAGCGAGAAUAAUUCCCCAGCCCUAGGCCAGGCCCUUGGCGGUGGCUUUCAUGGCCAAGGGCUCACAGAGCAGCCUCUGGAUUGGGCUCCUCAUUGCCGGCCUGGCAUCUCCAACACAGCAACCCUGGGGGCUUUGUGACUACACAGCUGCUGGGGCCCCUCCACUUCUGAAAACCUCCAGUGGCACCCCCGCCAGCCUGAAGGCUGACAUUCCUGCUCUCCAGCUGGCCCAGGGGCGCAGGUCUCACUGCAGGCGCCCUCCUGGCCUCCCCAGACCCACCCCCCGACCCCACUUCGGCCGCACGAGACCACUGACUGCCCCCUCCCGUACCCUGCCUUGGCACAGGUGGAUGUUCCACCUGGCAAGCUCCUCCUACCUUUUUCUAGGAAAAUGCAUAUUAAAUGUCACUUCCUCUGGGCUUCCCGCUUGGAUUGCCCAGGAAAGCAGGAGUUCCCCCUCAGGGCCCUUUCAGAACUGUGCGUUUUCUCUGUCAGGGCCCCGUCACACGCUGCUGUCCUUUCGUCUGUUGGUAGUUGGCUCUCCAGCUGGAAUGAGCACUCCUGGAAGGCAGGGCCCAGGUCAGAAUCAUGCCGUCUCUGUCUUCCCCUCAAGGCCUAACUUAGGGCAGGUACUCCAAUGUUUGGGGAUAGAGGAAAGAAGGAAGGAAGGGUCAUGUCAUUCCUUCGCUGGCUGUGGAACCAAAUACCUGCUGUGCCAGGCUGCACGUUCCUCCAUUAGCUGGGGCCCUUGGGCUUCUUUAUCUGGCUCCCAUGGGCCAGAGAGACCUGCUUCAGAAGCAGGAGGCCUCAGAGGCCAGCCAGGGGCCUGGACUGUAUAACUGUCCCUCUGCCAGUUGAGCAGAGACCCAGACCACUGUGGAGGGCUUCCACCAACCAAGCCCCUGCCCCAGGCCCGGGUUUCAAGCAGGUUCAAACUCUGGCUCUGCCACUCCCUGGCUGGGUGGUCUUGUCUCCUGCCUGUCCUAGAAGGCUAUUCCCAGUCAGUCAUCUGUCCGUGUCCACAGAGGUGACUGUGGAGGACAGCAACCCGGCUGGGUGGCUGGACUGACCACAGCAGGAGUCACCCGUGGAGAUUCUGUUCCUUACCUCUCCUUUGCAGGCACUCAGCUCACCAUCGCCGCGUAGCGAACCAUGUCAGCUCCUCGGAGAUGUUUCCCUGAUGCUGCCUGGGCUGCCGGGAGAGCUAGCCCUCAGGCCGGGAGGAUCCCAGCCCUCGCAAAUUUCCCGCUCAGCUCUGGUCAAGCUACCUCACCUCCUGGAGCCUCAGUUUUUGCUUCUGCAAAUGAAGGAAUGCCAAAAGGCUGAAGGAACAGUGCAAGAGUUUUGGGCCAGGCAAUGGACCCAGGACCCACUGGCCUGAGCACCUGCACAGAACUCCGCGAGGGAGGGGACUGGAAGCCCUCUGAGGCUUCCCGGGCAUCCAGGCGAGCGUAGGGAGCUGCAGGUUUGGGGAAGAGGGCUGAUGCAGAAUCAGGAAGAACCAAGAGAAACCUUGAAAACCAUGGAAACUGAGAGCAGAGGCCCCGGAGGUGGGGAAGGAGGUUCCACUGAGUAGAAGACAGACAGGCAGCAGUGGGUUUGAAUCCAAACUCUGCCAAAUACUAGCCAUGUGGCCUUGGGCAAACCACUAAACCUCUCUGAUUCUUGAUUUCCACAUCUAUAAAAUAAACUAAUUCUAUCUUGCAA